GAACAUUGUUAGCUAGAAGAAGUUGACAACGAAGCAAACAGAGAUAACAUUUAAUCAGGAAGACAGUCAGACUGGUCGGAAAACUAGGAAGGGGGAGGGGAUGGAGAGAGAGGGAAAGCAAGGGUUACUUGAAGUUAGAGAAAUCAAUAUUCAUAUAACUGGGAUGUAGGCUGCCCAAGCAAUCUAUGAGGUGUUG